rnacentral:rRNA from 1 species
UAAGCGACUAAGCGUACACGGUGGAUGCCCUGGCAGUCAGAGGCGAUGAAGGACGUGCUAAUCUGCGAUAAGCGUCGGUAAGGUGAUAUGAACCGUUAUAACCGGCGAUUUCCGAAUGGGGAAACCCAGUGUGAUUCGUCACACUAUCAUUAACUGAAUCCAUAGGUUAAUGAGGCGAACCGGGGGAACUGAAACAUCUAAGUACCCCGAGGAAAAGAAAUCAACCGAGAUUCCCCCAGUAGCGGCGAGCGAACGGGGAGCAGCCCAGAGCCUGAAUCAGUGUGUGUGUUAGUGGAAGCGUCUGGAAAGGCGUGCGAUACAGGGUGACAGCCCCGUACACAAAAAUGCACAUAUUGUGAGCUCGAUGAGUAGGGCGGGACACGUGGUAUCCUGUCUGAAUAUGGGGGGACCAUCCUCCAAGGCUAAAUACUCCUGACUGACCGAUAGUGAACCAGUACCGUGAGGGAAAGGCGAAAAGAACCCCGGCGAGGGGAGUGAAAAAGAACCUGAAACCGUGUACGUACAAGCAGUGGGAGCACGCUUAGGCGUGUGACUGCGUACCUUUUGUAUAAUGGGUCAGCGACUUAUAUUCUGUAGCAAGGUUAACCGAAUAGGGGAGCCGAAGGGAAACCGAGUCUUAACUGGGCGUUAAGUUGCAGGGUAUAGACCCGAAACCCGGUGAUCUAGCCAUGGGCAGGUUGAAGGUUGGGUAACACUAACUGGAGGACCGAACCGACUAAUGUUGAAAAAUUAGCGGAUGACUUGUGGCUGGGGGUGAAAGGCCAAUCAAACCGGGAGAUAGCUGGUUCUCCCCGAAAGCUAUUUAGGUAGCGCCUCGUGAAUUCAUCUCCGGGGGUAGAGCACUGUUUCGGCAAGGGGGUCAUCCCGACUUACCAACCCGAUGCAAACUGCGAAUACCGGAGAAUGUUAUCACGGGAGACACACGGCGGGUGCUAACGUCCGUCGUGAAGAGGGAAACAACCCAGACCGCCAGCUAAGGUCCCAAAGUCAUGGUUAAGAGGGAAACGAUGUGGGAAGGCCCAGACAGCCAGGAUGUUGGCUUAGAAGCAGCCAUCAUUUGAAGAAAGCGUAAUAGCUCACUGGUCGAGUCGGCCUGCGCGGAAGAUGUAACGGGGCUAAACCAUGCACCGAAGCUGCGGCAGCGACACUAUGUGUUGUUGGGUAGGGGAGCGUUCUGUAAGCCUGUGAAGGUGUACUGUGAGGUAUGCUGGAGGUAUCAGAAGUGCGAAUGCUGACAUAAGUAACGAUAAAGCGGGUGAAAAGCCCGCUCGCCGGAAGACCAAGGGUUCCUGUCCAACGUUAAUCGGGGCAGGGUGAGUCGACCCCUAAGGCGAGGCCGAUAGGCGUAGUCGAUGGGAAACAGGUUAAUAUUCCUGUACUUGGUGUUACUGCGAAGGGGGGACGGAGAAGGCUAUGUUGGCCGGGCGACGGUUGUCCCGGUUUAAGCGUGUAGGCUGGUUUUCCAGGCAAAUCCGGAAAACUAAGGCUGAGGCGUGAUGACGAGGCACUACGGUGCUGAAGCAACAAAUGCCCUGCUUCCAGGAAAAGCCUCUAAGCAUCAGGUAACAUCAAAUCGUACCCCAAACCGACACAGGUGGUCAGGUAGAGAAUACCAAGGCGCUUGAGAGAACUCGGGUGAAGGAACUAGGCAAAAUGGUGCCGUAACUUCGGGAGAAGGCACGCUGAUAUGUAGGUGAAGUCCCUCGCGGAUGGAGCUGAAAUCAGUCGAAGAUACCAGCUGGCUGCAACUGUUUAUUAAAAACACAGCACUGUGCAAACACGAAAGUGGACGUAUACGGUGUGACGCCUGCCCGGUGCCGGAAGGUUAAUUGAUGGGGUCAGCGCAAGCGAAGCUCUUGAUCGAAGCCCCGGUAAACGGCGGCCGUAACUAUAACGGUCCUAAGGUAGCGAAAUUCCUUGUCGGGUAAGUUCCGACCUGCACGAAUGGCGUAAUGAUGGCCAGGCUGUCUCCACCCGAGACUCAGUGAAAUUGAACUCGCUGUGAAGAUGCAGUGUACCCGCGGCAAGACGGAAAGACCCCGUGAACCUUUACUAUAGCUUGACACUGAACAUUGAGCCUUGAUGUGUAGGAUAGGUGGGAGGCUUUGAAGUGUGGACGCCAGUCUGCAUGGAGCCGACCUUGAAAUACCACCCUUUAAUGUUUGAUGUUCUAACGUUGACCCGUAAUCCGGGUUGCGGACAGUGUCUGGUGGGUAGUUUGACUGGGGCGGUCUCCUCCUAAAGAGUAACGGAGGAGCACGAAGGUUGGCUAAUCCUGGUCGGACAUCAGGAGGUUAGUGCAAUGGCAUAAGCCAGCUUGACUGCGAGCGUGACGGCGCGAGCAGGUGCGAAAGCAGGUCAUAGUGAUCCGGUGGUUCUGAAUGGAAGGGCCAUCGCUCAACGGAUAAAAGGUACUCCGGGGAUAACAGGCUGAUACCGCCCAAGAGUUCAUAUCGACGGCGGUGUUUGGCACCUCGAUGUCGGCUCAUCACAUCCUGGGGCUGAAGUAGGUCCCAAGGGUAUGGCUGUUCGCCAUUUAAAGUGGUACGCGAGCUGGGUUUAGAACGUCGUGAGACAGUUCGGUCCCUAUCUGCCGUGGGCGCUGGAGAACUGAGGGGGGCUGCUCCUAGUACGAGAGGACCGGAGUGGACGCAUCACUGGUGUUCGGGUUGUCAUGCCAAUGGCACUGCCCGGUAGCUAAAUGCGGAAGAGAUAAGUGCUGAAAGCAUCUAAGCACGAAACUUGCCCCGAGAUGAGUUCUCCCUGACUCCUUGAGAGUCCUGAAGGAACGUUGAAGACGACGACGUUGAUAGGCCGGGUGUGUAAGCGCAGCGAUGCGUUGAGCUAACCGGUACUAAUGAACCGUGAGGCUUAACCU